rnacentral:tRNA from 1 species
CUGUGGAGGCCCGCACAGGCCCUGAGUGAACUCUGAUAGAGCCUUCGCAAGGCGGGGUAAGCGGAGCUCCAGUGGCGCAAUCGGUUAGCGCGCGGUACUUAUACGGCAGUACAUGCAGAGCGAUGCCGAGGUUGUGAGUUCGAGCCUCACCUGGAGCACGACCCUUUUGUAUACCCGCAUCUCGCUUUUAUCUCCUUGCUUAAGGAAUCUCGUCAGUCUUUUCUUUAGCUUCCUCAGUUCCUGUCUCUGACUCGCUGCCUACCAGUCCUGCUUCUAGGCUGACAGGAAGCUUUGGCGCUUCUUACUCUCUUUCCAAGCUACUUGUUGUCGCCGCUCACCACCUAGCCGCUGGAACCAGACAUUUGCAUCCUGCUCCCUCGUCCUAGGCAUGUCCUUUAACGGCCCCCAACUCUUGGUCCCGGUACCGGUGAUGCAGACAGGAGGUCCCGGGGCGCUGCACCGGUGCUGGGGUCCUCCCUGGGCCUCGGUCACUGAAGAUCCCAGGCGCCCUCUCUAUGGGUCGUGCCUGAGCUCCCGGCUCAGGUUCCCGGCCGCUGCCCGAGCCGGACCACCUCUCCGGGGAGCUGGAGCCCGAGGCCCAGAGCAGGGGCUCAAGGCGAGCGGUCGCUCUCCUCGCUUUUAACUACUACUAACUCGUCAUGGCCCCCUCCCUCCGACGUGCAGAGCCGCUAGACCGCAGGCUCUUCUCCCCUAUCCAGGCCCCAGGCCUCCAAGGCUCCCUGGGCGGACUUGCAGAGCUUGGGAAAAGUGCCUGGGCCGCUCCCUCCCCCUCCCCUGCGCCCCUUCUCCCGCGUGUCAGUCAGGAGUGGUGGAAUUUGCUGGCAGACCGGAGAACAGACGUUUUCUAGGGAUAUCCGAGCGGCGGGUGUCCUCUCAUGCUUGCCACCGUCCCAGGUUCAGAAGUCCUCCCGGGGAGCAGGAAAUCGGCCAGCACGCGAACACUCCUCGGAGGCGCGGGGGCUGCUUUGCCAAGGGGUGGGUGGGUACUCCACAUUCCCAGGAGGCAGGGCCAAGUAGGGAACAAGCUUAGUGGGGAUGAGAGGCCUCCUGGACGCGUUCUCCGGCAAGAGUGGUUUCAGCUGUUUUUUUGGACGUGCUAGUAGUUAACUCAUGGGAUAGAAAUACUACCGGGAGUGGUGAGAAACAAGACCUAGAAAGCUCAGAGAAAAGCAGAUGGAGAGUGGAGCUCUUGUCUGUCUUCUCGGCUCCUAACGGCAGCCCCAGAUUCGCAAUGAAGAGCCCCACGCCACAUGAAAUGUGAGCAAGUCCACCCACCUCAUCUACCCUGGCGGCCAGUUCCUCGUUGGACCAGAUCCCUUCUAUCAUAAGCUCCUCCUCAGCACAUGGUUAUUACUGGAAUGCUGGUGGUUUGGGCAACUCUUUUUCUGGUGAGAUGGUGCAGUGGGAAGGUAAGAAGCUAAAUUUAGUUACCCUUGCUCUAUUUAAUCUAGAAAUCACCAGAUAGGUGGUUAUUAGUGGAUUACAAACAAAGAAACAGACCCCUGGCAGAUUGUAGAGCAAUGUUAUAAUGUGAUUUUGACAGAGUUUUUAUAGGUUGGGAUGAGUGAUAAAGAUCAAGUCAGAAAAUUAUUGGAAAAUGCUAUAAAAACCAUAAAUUACUACCUAUAUUAUACUAGGGAGGUGGGACUCGUAUCACCAUAAAACUAGUGAGUUAGGCCUGUAUGCAAUGUUUUGGUGGCUUCAAAGUAGAAGAUGGGUAAAUAGGAAGUGGACAAACUCAGAAGGUACCUGGAAGUUAUAGGUGAACGGCUGUACAUGUCUAGCAGGAGAGAAGGCUUACCCACCCACUGAAAUCCAUUGAACUGUACACACAGGUUGACAUUAGCUUUAUAGGUGGCUUGGUGAAGAUAGGCUUAUUAAAACUGUGCGUGAUACAAAGCUGGAAGGGAGUCCAAAUUCAGUAGACAAUCCAGAGACACAUGUUUCUGACAAAUGACAAGAUGCAAUUUGAUAGAGAUAAUUGUAGCCUGUGUUCAGUUCAGAGUUCCCGUGUAGAGGAAUGCCUGGCGUGACAGCUGUUUGCAUGCAAAGGGGAUCUGGGCAUUUCAGAUAUGCACAACCCCAGUCGUCCUGGCCGUGUGACCCAGCUGCUGAGAAUGUCAACCAAUUAUUAAUGCAUUGCUGUAUAAUGCAUUACAUAUUGUGGUGUCAGAGAUCACAAAACAGCAGUGCGUGGAACAAAUCUAGCCUCAGACAGGUUUUGUGUGGCUUUCUAGUACUGCCUUGCAAAAUAUUUUUUAAAAAUUAAUUAUUUGCCUAUAUAUUGGGAGAUUUUUACUGAAAUGCUUAGAUGUCAAGUUUCUAAUGAAAAAUUGGAAGACUUAGUUAUCUCGGGCCCUUAUUCCCACAUGGCAAUGUUGGCUGCCCCCUUUGGAUGGGCAAAUGAUCUUCCCUUUGCCGUGGUCCCACCACUCUGCAUUAAUCUCCCGCACAGAGGUGGGUUGCCACUGCUCCACUCGCUUGCUUUGCUGUUUUCUUAACCCUGGACUCAUUUCUCUCCUUUGUGACCUACAGACACUGAGUGUGUGGCUUCCAUAUGGAGAAAGGGAGGGAUACUGUUGAACCCUCUCAGUAGGUCAAAAUACAGCCUGAGGGCUGUGAUCUGUAUGAACACAGCCCAUUUAAAAGUCAACAAACCAUAACCCCGAUUCUUUAAAAUGGAAAAUUUCAAACAUGUACAAAGUAGAGAAAAUAGUCUAUUUAACCGCCCUGUAUCCAUCCGUUGCUGCUCUCAAAAAUUCUCAAUGUUAUUCCAGGAAAAACAAAACAAAAUUGUCAACAUUAUUUCCUCUAUCUAUCUCAUUCCCACAACAUUCUCCCCUACCUUGGCAUGGUCACCAAAUAUUUUAAAGGAAAUCCCAGAUAUGAUUUAAUUUAACUUGUAAAUGCCUCAGUGUGUAUACCCAACAGGUAAUCCCUUUUUAAAAGAGCAUAACCACAGAAUCAUUUUUACACCUAACAAGAUGAAUAAUAGUGACCCUGCAUCACCACACAUAAUUCUGAAAGAUAUUUUUACAGUUAGUUUGUUAGGAUCAAGAUUCACCAAGGUCCGCAUACUGCAUUUGGUCAAAAUAUCUUUUAAAUCUCUUUUCAUUUAGUACCAAUUCCCUCUUUCCCUACUCCUUUUUAUGAUAUUUAUUUGUUCAUCUGUAAAAUUUCCCGCAGAAUUUGGCUUAUUGCUUCCUCAGGGCUCCCUUUCAAAAGUUCUUCAAUUCCCCCUGACAGUUAGAUUAAGAAGCUUGAUAAUUUUUUUUUAUUUUAAAUGAUUUUUAUUUUUUCCAUUAUAGCUGGUUUACAGUGUUCUGUCAAUUUUCUACUGUACAGCAUGGUGACCCAGUCACACAUACAAGUAUACAAUCAUUUUUCUCACAUUAUCAUGCUCCAUCACAAGUGACCAGACAUACUUCCCAGUGCUAUACAGCAGGAUCUCAUUGCUUAUCCAUUCCAAAAGCAAUAGUUUGCAUCUGUUAAUCUCAAAUUCCCAAUCCAUCCCAUUCCCUUCCCCUCCCCCCUGGCAACCACAAGUCUAUUCUCUAAGUCCAUGAUUUUAUUUUCUAUGGAAAGGUUCAUUUGUGCUGUACAUUAGAUUCCAGAUAUAAGUGAUAUCAUAGAAGCUUGAUAAUAUUGAUUCAGGUUUUUUUUGUAAAAAUAUAUUAUAAGUGGUACUAUAUUCUAUUGUAUCACAAGAGAGGAAGUACAUAAUGUCUGGUUGUUCUGCUUUUACUGAUGUUAAUUUUAUUGGUGAUGUCAGAUGUGAUGAGCCUGAUCCAUCCAUUAUAAAAGGCCACAUCGGCCUCUAACCUAAUGGUUUUAGUGGCUGUUGAUGCUCUUGUCUAGAUUUAUUAUUUUAUUAAGGAUUACUCAAUAAUGGUUUUCUCAUUCUAUUAUUCUUCUGUAUUUAUGACUGUGGAUUCUAAAGAAACCUCUUUUUUCCAUUGACUAUUUGGUUUUCCUAAAGCACAAUUCAUGUAGAAAAGGCUAGAUAAUAUUGCUGGACUCUCUUUUUCUACUAAUCUUUAGAAUAGUGAAUUGAUACUCUAACAACUCCCAAAGGUGACCAGGUUUUAUAUUAAGUUGGUUUAUAGGAUUGUUCAAGACUUCUGUAACUUUGAGUUUUCUGCCCACUUGCUCUGUCAUUGAGAGAAGGAUAUGAAAAUAGUCAACUACAAUGGCAUUUUUUUCCAUUUCUCCUUUUAGUUCUAUCUUUUUCUCCUUUGUGUUGUUGGAAGCUCUGUUAUUGGUUGUAUAAAAGUUUAGGACUGUUAUGAUCUCUUGAUUCAAUGACCCUGUUACCAUUUGCUCGAUUUGUCCCAUGUUUGGCCAGAGAAAUUCCCUUUAAAUUGGCUGCUGGGUCUUUCUGAUGUAAUCUUAAAUCUAAGCUACGAUGUAUUCCUGGCAUGAUGAGGUAUUUCAGAAUAUGUUUUGUACUUGUCUUUGUUCAGUCCUAGAAUUGGCCACUUCUCCCAAGAGCCUGGUUCUUUUUGUUGGGAAAUGUUAUCUAGGAGACCACAGUCUAUGUCCUAGAGUUGCUUAAUGCUGCUCUGUGGUCGUCAUAUUUUCAUGCCUUUUCAGCAGACAGAACUAGGAAAUGCAUAUUUUUUAAAAAAGAGAAAAAUAAAACCAGAGUAUAUAAUGAUAUUUCCAAUUCUAAUGUAAGAUUACAAAAUGUAUACCCUUCAAUUUUAUAUUUGGAUUUCUUUACAACUCUUACAUAAUUACUUAAUUUUGGUGUCAUCCUAUGAUACGCAACACAAUAGUUUUAAAAUAAUAUCAAUAUUAUUUGUAAUAAGAAGAUUAUUGAUUACAGUUUAAGAUUUCUAUGUGAUUCCUUUCGUUCUUAGUUUACAUCCAAAAUGCAAAAUAUUGCGUUUUGGAGUUCCUGUCAUCGUGAAGCAGAAAUGAAUCAGACUAGGAACCAUGAGGAUUCAGGUUCGAUCCCUGGCCUCGCUCAGUGGGUUAUGGAUCCGGCAUUGCCGUGAGCUGUAGUGAGGUUGAAGACAUGGCUCAGAUCUGGCAUUGCUGUGGCUCUGGCAUAGGCCGGCAGCUACAGCUCCGAUUAGACCCCUAGCCUGGGAACCUCCAUAUGCCAUGGGUGCCGCCCUAAAAAGACAAAAGACAAAAAAAAAAAAUUGUGUUUUAAAGUCAAAGUAAGAGUUCCCUGGUGGCUCAGUGGGUUAAGGAUCUGGCAUCCUUAAGCAUCUGAUAUUCUUUUUGUUUGUUUGGUUUUUUUGCUUUUCUUUUUUUUUUUUAUUUUCCCACUGUACAGCAAGGGGGUCAGGUUAUCCUUACAUGUAAGCAUCUGAUAUUCUUAAGUCAAAGUAAUAUUUCUGUGUAUGGCUAUGUUAUCAACUUGAUACACAGUGAAUGCCAUUUGAUUGAGUUUAUUUUACAUUUUUAGGAAUUCCUUUUCUUCUUUUACCUUAUUUAUCUAAAAUAUUUACAUGCUUCCAAAGUCAAAACUAUACAAAAAGGUUUUUGCUGAGAAGUCUAGCUUCUAUCUUUGUCCCCUAAUCCUUUUUCCUCUUUCUCUGUGUAGGUAAUAAUUUUAAAAUUACUUUUUUGAUUUAUCUUUCCAUUAUUUGAUCUUAAAAACUAUAAGCAAAAACACACUUAUGUUUGUAUUCCACUCCUCUCCUUCUUUUUCAAAAGCUCUUCUAUUCCAUGCUAAUUUCAUUAACAGUAUAUACUUAUUAUCUCAGAGUUGCAGAUAGAACUCUUCUGCACUCCUUCUCACAGCUGAAUAGUAUUCUAUCCCUGUGGAUGUACCACUGUAUAUUCAGCCAGUCUUCUACUCUGAAGAUUUCAGUUGUUUUCAGUAGUCUGGUUUUGUAGAUGGUGCUGCAAUGAAUAGAUGUGUUCACACUGUUUUGUAUAUUUUGCUGUUAUAUCUUUGAGAUGGAUUCUGAAUGUGGGAUUGCUGGCCUGAGGGAUGGCUAUCUAGCUCUAAAAUAUGUAGGUAUAUAAUUAUAUAUAUAAUUUUGUAUAUAGUCAUUUAUAUUAUAUAAAAUGUAAUGUUAUAUAUAACAUAUACAUUAAAUAUAAAAUGUAUAUAAUAAAUGUAAAAAUUUCCAGAUGUGCAAAAUCAUCUUUAAAGAGGGCUUCUGGGAGUUCUCUGGUGGCUCAGCAGAUUAAGGGUCCAGUGUUGUCACUGCUGUGGUUCAGGUUGCUGCUGUGGUGCAGGUUGGAUCCCUGGCUCAGGAACCACCACGUGCCUCGGGGGCAGCCAAAAAAAAAGAGGGUCUUUGGAGUUCCCACUGUGACUCAGCCCAGGUUUUAUACCUAUUAUCCAUGAGGAUGUGGGUUCCAUCCCUGGCCUUGCUCAGUGGGUUAAGGAUCUGGUGUUGCCGUGAACUGUGGUGUGGGUUGCAGACGUGGUUUGGAUCUGUUGUGGCUGUGGUGUAGGCUGGCAGCUGCAGCUCUGAUUCAACCCCUAGCCUGGGAACCUCUAUAUAUCACAGGUGUGGUCCUAAAAAGCUAAAAAAAAAAAAAAAAAA